UGGAUUUGCUGCUGCAGCGUGUUUUGCCAUGUUCAGGAAGUAAGUCUUGCUGAAAAGCCACACCAAGGAUCCUAGCAGUAGGCGGGUAAGUGACUCCAGCCCCUGCAGACACUUCACCACCAGCCUGGGUUUGGAGGCACUGAGACUUCUGGCAAAUGCAGAACUCCCUGUCUGAGAAGAGUUCAGGCUGUGUGUAGGUUAGGAGUUUUAAAAAAAAGAAUGCAAUGUCACUCCUUAAGAAUGCCAGAGAUUUGGUUUUGGUCAUUUUGUUUUCUUGAGAUAAGUUUCAGCCCAGACUGGUUUUGGGCUGGUGCUGUAACCAAGGAUGACCUUGAAUUUCUAAUCCUGACUCCACAUCCCAAGGGCUGGGAUUACAGGAAUGUGCCAUAAUGCUAUUUAUGCUGUGUUGGAGAAAAAAAACCCUGGCUUUCUCAUACUAGGCAAGCACCCUACCCACUGCUACACCUGCUGCCCUGAUGGUUUUUGAAACUUAGUAACUGAGUAGAGAUGCACAUACCUCAAGCACAGGGAAGGGACCUUCUGUGACUCUUCAAAUGCUGUGCUGCAUUUUAAAAAACAAGAGCCUGGCAUGCUGGUGCACACUUUUAAUCAGAGCACUGGGAGGCAGGAGCAAGCGGAUCUCUGAGUUCAAGGCCAGCCUGAUCAACAAGGUGAAUUUCAGGACAGCCAGGGAUCUGUAGAGACCCUGCCUUAAAAACAACUUUUAAGAGAAUUCCAGAUUGUAAUACUUACUUCAGGUUGUUGAGUAGGGAUAGGUGGGUAGGUGGAGCCCCUAAGCUUUUAUUUUUUUUUCUUUUUCUUUUUUUGGUUUUUUUUUUGUUUUUUUGUUUUGUUUUUUGUUUUUUCAAGGGUUUCUCUGUAUAGCCUUGGCUGUACUGAAACUCACUCUGUAGACCAGGCUAUCCUUGAACUCAGAAAUCCUCCUGCCUCUGCCUCUGCCUCCCAAGUGCUGGGAUCAAAGGCAUGCGCCACCAUGCCCGGCUUGCCCCUGAUUUCUAAAGUGAGCUCUGCUCUGAUCACUUAAUGUCCUGUUAGAAUGUGGGUGCUGAAACCCAUUUUCCCACUAGCUUGUAGCUGUGGGUUUUGUCAACGAUGCCAUGUUUUUAUGUCCAUUGGGUCUAAAGGCUAUUUCUUGUCUCUUGAAUAAAAGAGGUAGUAGUAAGCCAUAAAAUGAUGUAAAACCCUAAAUGGCUUCUGCAGUGAUUCAGGGUUGUUAAGACUCCUCAGCUUCAUUAACUCAUCAGGCCAGCAGUUUCUCUGUCUUUUUCUAGCUCUCCAUGCAUAGAAAGAUCGCAGAGGUCACCACUGCAGCCUUCCACUUUCCCAUGUUAGGGUUUGUUGAUUUAAAUCAACAAUGAAGACCAAGCGGGUCUUGAACUCACAGAGGUCAUCCUGCCUCUGCCUCCUGAGUGCUGGGAUUAAAUUAUGCUCCACUAUGCCUUGCUAAGUUAGAGUUUUCUACAUAACCAUAACUGGAUGUCCCAGCCAAACAAAUGUACUCAUUUCUCUUAAGCUCACUGGACUUGGAUUUGAUGAAAUUGUGUGGCUGCGAUGCCGAUUUGGUGCCACUUGGAAUUUAAUAGAUAAACCGUGCAUAAGGCCUCGAGGUGUAAGAAGGCUAACAUGUUUCCCCACAUAAUAAAUGGCUGUAUCUUUAUGGAAAUGGAAGUAGAGAACUUUAUUCUGCUAAGAACGGGCUAAUGUGUUCCUCUGUGUAGCUGAGGGAAUGCAGUCUGGGAAAUCUGCAGGAAGCUUGAAGGAUUGUCUAGCAGUGGUAGUUCCACACAUGCUGACGUGCUGUGACAUUAACCACCUUUUGUUUGCUUUAAAACUAACUGCAUAGACCAGGAAUCACAGACUGGGUUAAUUUCAGUUAGAGAAUUCAGCCUCUGAUGAGAGCCUCCUGUCAUGAAAUGCUCAAAGUCAUUGCUGUGACUUUGGUAUUACCGUGAUUGCCAGCACAUUCAUCCUGCACCUGGUAUUAGUUAGGGCUAAGCAGCUGGGGCUUGCUGCAGAUGCAAGCAUUGCUGAACACUACACUUUGAUGUACUGUGAGAAACAACCUUUAAACUGAUAAAGCUUUAUAGCAUUCUCACU
rnacentral:lncRNA from 1 species